rnacentral:tRNA from 1 species
GUAUUCCAAAGGUCGUAGGUUCGAAUCCCACCGUGGCCGGGCAUAUUUUUCAAGCUCGCCCGGUGUGGAUAUACACUCAGAGUAACACCACAAAUAUCAUAUUCACCUGAGUACACUGCACCAACACUGAAAAAAAUUCAUAUUACUAGAAUACAUUGGUAUCGAAGGAACUAGAUUCUGUUCCGAAAUUCCACUUACUCGAAUCGUCCUGACCGCGUAGCUCAGUUGGAAGAGCAUUGGGCUAGUAUUCCAAAGCUCGUAGGUUCGAAUCCCACCGUGGCCGGGCAUAUUUUUCGGGCUCGCCCGGUGUGGAUAUACACUCAGAGUAACACCACAAAUAUCAUAUUCACCUGAG